AGGGAAUUCCGGAGUUUCACUCCCAACCCAUGUGAACAUACCUACUGUUGCUUCGGCGGGAUUGCCCCGGGCGCCUCGUGCGCCCCGGAUCAGGCGCCCGCCUAGGAAACUUAACUCUUGUUUUAUUUUGGAAUCUUCUGAGUAGUUUUUACAAAUAAAUAAAAACUUUCAACAACGGAUCUCUUGGUUCUGGCAUCGAUGAAGAACGCAGCGAAAUGCGAUAAGUAAUGUGAAUUGCAGAAUUCAGUGAAUCAUCGAAUCUUUGAACGCACAUUGCGCCCGCCAGUAUUCUGGCGGGCAUGCCUGUCUGAGCGUCAUUUCAACCCUCAUGCCCCUAGGGCGUGGUGUUGGGGAUCGGCCAAAGCCCGCGAGGGACGGCCGGCCCCUAAAUCUAGUGGCGGACCCGUCGUGGCCUCCUCUGCGAAGUAGUAAUAUUCCGCAUCGGACAGCGACGAGCCCCUGCCGUUAAACCCCCAACUUUCCAAGGUUGACCUCAGAUCAGGUAGGAAUACCCGCUGAACUUAAGCAUAUCAAUAGGCCGGAGGAA
rnacentral:rRNA from 1 species